rnacentral:rRNA from 1 species
CCAAUAGCGUAUAUUAAAGUUGUUGCAGUUAAAAAGCUCGUAGUUGAAUUUCGGAAUCAGUACGCUGGUCGUGCCUUCGGUAUAUACUGGUGUCACUGAUUUCUCCCUUCUGAAGAACCAUCAUGCCAUUAAGUUGGUGUGGCGGGAAAUCAGGACUGUUACUUUGAAAAAAUUAGAGUGUUUAAAGCAGGCUCGCGCUUGAAUACAUUAGCAUGGAAUAAUGAAAUAGGACGUUGAUCCUAUUUUGUUGGUUUCUAGGAUUGACGUAAUGAUUAAUAGGGAUAGUUGGGGGCAUUAGUAUUCAAUUGUCAGAGGUGAAAUUCUUGGAUUUAUUGAAGACUAACUACUGCGAAAGCAUUUGCCAAGGAUGUUUUCAUUAAUCAAGAACGAAAGUUAGGGGAUCGAAGACGAUCAGAUACCGUCGUAGUCUUAACCAUAAACUAUGCCGACUAGGGAUCGGAUGAUGUUAAUUUUUUAAUGACUCAUUCGGCGCCUUACG